UGCGAAGUGGUGAAGCAAGGAAGUGGUUACAGAAACUCAAAGAGAAAUACAGAAAGAGAGAAGGCGAUGGGGGUAGAGGGAGAGGAGGACAAAGACAGCGAAUAUGCACAGUAGAGGGGGCCUAUGGUUUGGAGAAGGCUGGCAGCCAGCCCACUCUCAUCCUCUGAUCCUGUGAGGAGCUGGCCAAAGAGAAAACUACCCAGACCUCAGUCUCCUACCCCGCUCCAGUCUUUGGCAGGAACACUUGACCAGUAAAGGGAAAACUUCAGUGAGCAGAUGCACAACUUCAGUAAACACACUGCACAUGUGGCCCCUCCCAAGUUCUGGCAGGCCACUGUGCAUGCAGACAGCCCAUUCCAAGGGAAGAAUCGGGGAAGAAGAAACAAAAACCCUGG
rnacentral:lncRNA from 1 species